CGCAGAGGUGAGGCAGUUUCUAUAAAAGCUUGAGCCUCGCACCCUCGCGUUCUUUCGGAAUCAAGAAAGAGGUCGGUGUGCUUUUUCUUCCUUCCUCUGUGCACCACAGUCCCGGGAGGACCUGGGCCCGAGUUGGGCCGGGGAGGUGGCCUAAACCCGCCGGCCGACCUAGCCUCCAGGUCCAGCCUCCGUCUGAGCUCCUCCGUGGCCCUCAGCGUUCUAUACGUUUCUGCCCCCACUUCCCAGUUCUGUCCCGAACUUCCAGCAGUACUUCUCCCUACAGGAACAUCGGUGACCUGGCAGAAGACCGCGAGGCAAAUCAUCCAUGGGGGCCUGGUUAAUAAGGCGGGAGUCCAUGUCUGUCCAGAGUGCUCAGCAAUGAAGCAGAGGUGGUGAGUGUGUAUUCACUCUCACACCUGUUGGUGUUAGGAACGGAAACCAGACCCGGGUGAGUCAGAACAGGGCUUUAAUCAUCGUCCAAAACAGGACGCCUGCUCCUAAGGAAGAGGAGGAUAGAGCUCCCUUGAGAUCCUAUACUUUGCUUUCGCCACUGAGGCACUCUGAGAUCCAGAAACAUCUGCCCUUCAGGCAUAUGCCAUCUCACUGGCACAUUUCCAGAAUGAGGCUAAAACCCGGGACAACCAAAGGUGGAAAGGUGAUACACCCUCUAUAUGCCUCAGGACCUCAGGCCCUAAUCACAUACUGGAAGGGGGGAUCCCCACCUCCCAACUGCAGCCCCCUUGGAAAGGGCCAUAUCCGGUCACCUCUCCACCCCUACAUUGGUCUGUGUUUCUGGACUGGAAAGCUGGAUAGACCACUCCCCAGCUAAGGCGAGCUCCAGGAGAGACCAGUGGGAUUCCCCGCUACACCUGUGAGCCACUUGGAGACUUCCGCUAGCCCUUAAGCCUCGGCUAAGUAGACAUGUCCCUCGUGAUCGGCCUCUUUCGUUAGGCAGUAGACCAGGCCUAGUCUCUGGACCCACCCCUGGGAAUGGGGACCAGUCUCCUAGCAACACUUAGACCCUCGCAAGCCAUACCUCCUACCCAACUGGACACUCUGGGCCACUGUUCCAGCCCAACUCGUUGCCAAAAUCCGACAAACGCCCCUGGCAGAGGAGUGGCAUUUGGGGCAAGGGGAGAACAUUUUUUUGCCCUUGGUGUCAACAGUUGGUGGCAUUAAAAGCCAAAGCCUCUGCUUUUCC